AGAAGUAUGCACAUGUGCUGGUAGCUUAUUUGUCAGAGCAAUUCCGUUUACUGUGACUGGCAUUCAGUGGAACUGCAACUGAUUCACCAAUAUUUACGAAAACACAACGAGCUGUGGUGAUGAAAUUUUCCAACACAAAAUAAAAAGACAUAGAAGCAGUAUGGUAAUCAAAUACUGGCUGAAGUCUCCAAAAACUCGGUUCACCAGCAAAGAGAAAUCUAAAAAUGUUCAAACACCGGAUCCUGGAGGAAAAUCUGAAUGCUACAAAAAUUGAGAUUGAAUUGAGGUACAGUAACAUAAACCAGUAUGUAGCUCAAAAAAUUGCUACUUUAAACAGGAAGAGAUUAAAUUAUUCUGGAGCACCACAAUAAGGACGUUUCUUAAUAGAUAAAUGACAUGCAUAUGAGUUAUUUUAAUAAACAAACUUCUCACAUUA